CCUACGGGUGGCAGCAGUAGGGAAUCUUCCACAAUGGGCGAAAGCCUGAUGGAGCAACGCCGCGUGGGUGAAGAAGGUCUUCGGAUCGUAAAACCCUGUUGUUAGAGAAGAAAGUGCGUGAGAGUAACUGUUCACGUUUCGACGGUAUCUAACCAGAACGCCACGGCUAACUACGUGCCGGCAGCCGCGGUACUACGUAGGUGGCAAGCGUUAUCCGGAUUUAUUGGGCGUAAAGGGCAUGCAGGCGGCCUUGUAAGUCUGAGGUGAAAGCCUUCGGCUUAACCGGGGUAGUGCAUUGGAAACUGGGAGACUUGAGUGCAGAAGAGGUGAGCGGAAGUCCAUGUGUAGCGGUGAAAUGCGUAGAUAUAAGGAAGAACACCAGUGGCGAAAGCGGAUGUCUGGUCGGUAACUGACGCUGAGGUUCGAAAGCGUGGGUAGCAAACAGGAUUAGAUACCCGAGUAGUC
rnacentral:rRNA from 1 species